rnacentral:rRNA from 1 species
GACGAACGCUGGCGGCGUGCUUAACACAUGCAAGUCGAACGGAAAGGCCCUGCUUUUGUGGGGUGCUCGAGUGGCGAACGGGUGAGUAACACGUGAGUAACCUGCCCCUGACUUUGGGAUAACUUCAGGAAACUGGGGCUAAUAUCGGAUAGGAGCUCUUGCUGCAUGGUGGGGGAUGGAAAGAUUCGGCGGUUGGGGAUGGACUCGCGGCUUACCAGCUUGUUGGUGGGGUAGUGGCUUACCAAGGCUUUGACGGGUAGCCGGCCUGAGAGGGUGACCGGCCACAUUGGGACUGAGAUACGGCCCAGACUCCUACGGGAGGCAGCAGUGGGGAAUAUUGCACAAUGGGCGGAGGCCGGGUGCAGCAGCGCCGCGUGCGGGAUGACGGCCUUCGGGUUGUAAACCGCUUUCGCCUGUGACGAAGCGUGAGUGACGGUAAUGGGUAAAGAAGCACCGGCUAACUACGUG